rnacentral:lncRNA from 1 species
UGGAAGCAAACUGCACAACAACUUUAACCACAACAACUUUAACCUUUUCCAGGCCUCCCUUGGUUUCACCCCGGCACAAGCAGCCGUCCAGGAGAGGUUCUACAUCUGUGCUGAGAUGUGGUCCCUGCUGUCCUGCCCCAUCCAGGACCUGGUAAUUGACAGCACCAGGGACGUCUGGCUAGGAUUUGUAGGCUCAUCUACCUACCAAGUAGGGAGCGGCACCUGGCCCGGCUGGAAGGCGAUCGGCGGCAACGCGGCGGAGUCUGCCGCCUUCCCCUGGCUCCUGCAGUAAUACAAACACCUUUUCUGAGGUAAAUACCUUCCAGCUCUA